rnacentral:rRNA from 1 species
GGGCCCGCACAAGCGGUGGAGCAUGUGGUUCAAUUCGACGCAACGCGAAGAACCUUACCUGGGCUAGACAACAGCGGACCGUCCUAGAAAUAGGAUCUUCCCUUCGGGGACCGCUGGUUCAGGUGCUGCAUGGCUGUCGUCAGCUCGUGCCGUGAGGUGUUGGGUUAAGUCCCGCAACGAGCGCAACCCUCGUACUUAGUUGCCACCAUUCAGUUGGGCACUCUAAGUAGACUGCCGGCGUUAAGCCGGAGGAAGGUGGGGACGACGUCAAGUCAUCAUGGCCCUUAUGUCCAGGGCCACACACGUGCUACAAUGGGCGGUACAAAGGGUCGCUAACCCGCGAGGGGGAGCUAAUCCCAAAAAGCCGCUCUCAGUUCGGAUUGGAGUCUGCAACUCGACUCCAUGAAGCUGGAAUCGCUAGUAAUCGCGGAUCAGCACGCCGCGGUGAAUACGUUCCCGGGCCUU